AAAAUUCAAAAAAAAUCUGAAAAAAAAAGAAAUUAUACAAAAAAACAUAUGAUUUGCAUAUGUAUUUUUUUCUAUGUACGUAAAUGUGUGUAUAUCAAUAUGUGCGUUACCGUGUUACACAUAUAGAUAUUUGUUUCAGUGCUUUUUAGUUUCUACGGUUUGGCAAAUUAUUUUUAAAAAUAGUGUUUUAGCUAAAGCUGCUGCUGCUGAGAGUAUCAGUAUUUAACAUAUUGAGCGCUAACAAGACUGACAUAUCGACCGACUACUGACUAACGACUAAUCGACUGACUUAGGUAAGCAGGAAAACGUGUGUGAAGUGCGAAAUGUUCAAACUUUUAGUAACACAAAAGCAACGAGAAUUAAUUGAUAAAUAAACAACAAAAACAACAAAAAUUAAAUUAACGGUAGAACUGAAAAUUUGCAACAAAAGAGAAUCAAAAAAUCUAUAAUAGCUAAGCUGAACGUUCGUCAACAUUUUGAUCUGUUAUUUGACGAUAACUGUUGUCUUUUAUUGUUUGAUUACAGUCAAAGCCAACGACGUUUCACAUAAACAAACGGAAAAAACAAAAAGAGUGGUUCUUCAUCUGAAAUCACCUAAUAUCAGCAACAUGUUUAUGAAAGUGCCGUCACAGAUAACGGAACAAUUGUAAAAAUUAAAAUUUGCUUACAUUUUAAAAAUAAAAAAAAUAAAAUAAUGACAGUUGCAAAUAUAGUUAAACGAAAUUGAUAAGAUUAAAAGGCUAAUAAAUCUUUGGAUCAAGUCAAACGCGCAGAGUAUUUACAAUUUCAACAUGGCAAGAUAGUAUACGGGUGGAUAUAAAAAAAAAAAAACAAAAUCUGGCAGUCUAUUUGGGAAAUCGUACCCGAAAUAACGUUACACUUGAAAUAAGAAACCAACCAACGGUAAAUUGGCAUUAAAUUGAAAGAGAAAACGGGAACGAAAAAGAGUAAGAGGGUGCACUUAAGACGUUUAAAGCAACUGACACAAGACAUAACAACAAUAAUAGAUCCCGCAUAGAUUUGAUCAGCACUCAUCGAUAGCAUCUCAAUAAUUAAAUAAACAACAUCUACAACAACAAUAGCAGCAACAGUAUAAAUAAAUGCUUGCCGUUAAUUAUAAAAUUAGCGACGAGCAUGACGGAGGAGCUUAUUAGUUUGUUUCACGCAUUACGCGCACACACAUCCACACUCUCAGCUUUUCCAACAUCCCGCUUGAUCACAGAUUGUCACGUAAAUCAAUGAAUAAGCCUGGAAGAAUUGCAAAUAUCU